rnacentral:rRNA from 1 species
UCAAGCUACAAAGGGCGCAAGGAGAAUGCCUUGGCACUGGGAGCCGAUGAAAGACGUGGUAAGCUGCGAUAAGCUUCGGGGAGGAGCAAACAUCCUUUGAUCCGGAGAUUUCUGAAUGAGGAAACUCACCAGAGUUCAUACUCUGGUAUCCUGUACUGAAUCCAUAGGUACAGGAGGGGAACCGCCUGAACUGAAACAUCUAAGUAGGGCGAGGAAGAGACAUCAAACGAGAUUCCGUUAGUAGUGGCGAGCGAACGCGGAAGAGGGCAAACCGGAAGGAGAAAUCCUUCCGGGGUAUGGACCGCUUUUAGGACUUUAGCUGUUAAUCGAAUGGCAUGGGAAGGCCAACCAAAGAGUGUGAGAGUCACGUAGAUGAAAACGGCGAGAGCUGCGCGAGUUCCAGAGUACGGCCAGACACGUGAAACCUGGUCGGAAGAUGGGGGGACCACCCUCCAACCCUAAAUACUACCCAGUGACCGAUAGCGUAUAGUACUGUGAAGGAAAGGUGAAAAGGACCCCGGGAGGGGAGUGAAAUAGAACCUGAAACCUUGUGCCUACAAGCACAUAGAGCACAUCAACGUGUGAUAUGGUACUUUUUGUAGAACGGUCCGGCGAGCGAUUGUAUGUUGCGAGCUUAAGGUCUUAAGGACUGGAGGCGUAGCGAGAGCGAGUCUGAACAGGGCGUUCAGUAACAUGCAAUGGGCCCGAAACCGGGUGACCUACCCAUGAUCAGGCUGAAGUGAAAGUAAAAUUUCAUGGAGGGCCGAACCGACCUCCGUUGAAAAGGCGGCGGAUGAAUUGUGGGUAGCGGAGAAAUUCCAAUCGAACUCGGAGAUAGCUGGUUCUCCCCGAAAUAGCUUUAGGGCUAGCCUCAUAUUAGAUACCCGGAGGUAAAGCACUGAAUGGCCUAGCGCCCGAGAGGGUAGCGAAGCCUAUCAAACUAAGAAUGCCGGAGUAUUGAUGUAUGGGAGUCAGACAGUGUGAGAUAAAUCUCAUUGUCAAAAGGGAAACAGCCCAGAUCUACAGCUAAGGUCCCAAAUUGUAUCUAAGUGGAAAACGAUGUGGAAAUACGCAGACAACCAGGAUGUUGGCUCAGAAGCAGCCACUCAUUUAAAGAGUGCGUAAUAGCUCACUGGUCGAGCGUCUCUGCGCGGAAAAUUUAACGGGGCUAAGAUACAAACCGAAGCUUAGGCUGCAUCGUAAGAUGCGGGGUAGGGGAGCGUUGUGUAAGCGGAGAAACAGUAGCGUAAGCGGCUGUGGAGUUUACAGAAGUGAGAAUGCCGGAAUGAGUAGCGCGAAUGUGGUGAGAAUCCACAUGGCCGGAAACCUCAGGUUUUUGGAGGAAGGUUCGUCCGCUCCAAGUUAGGCGGGAGCUAAGGUCAGGCCGAAAGGCGUAGCCGAUGCACAGACGGUAGAGAUUCCGUCCCCACCGAAAGAUUUAAGCACAGGGACACUUUUUGAAGGUCGGAGCCAGGUGUUGGUUCUGGUAGUGAUCGAGGGAAAUAUAGUACCGAAGUCCGGCUGGAAGAGAGGCGAGAAAAGCUGUGUGUAUAUCUAAGGUGCCCGUACCGCAAACCGACACAGGUAGGUAGGAAGAAGAUUCUAAGGCCAACGGGAGAAGGGUUGUUAAGGAACUCGGCAAAUUGACCCCGUAACUUCGGGAGAAGGGGUGCUCCAGCGAUGGAGCCGCAGAGAAUCGGCCCAAGCAACUGUUUACCAAAAACACAGGUUUGUGCUAAAUCGAAAGAUGACGUAUACGAGCUGACGCCUGCCCGGUGCUGGAAGGUUAAGAGGAGAUGUGCAAGCAUUGAAUCGAAGCCCCAGUGAACGGCGGCCGUAACUAUAACGGUCCUAAGGUAGCGAAAUUCCUUGUCAGGUAAGUUCUGACCCGCAUGAAAGGCGUAAUGAUUUGGGCACUGUCUCAACAGCCCGCCCGGCGAAAUUGUAGUA